UUCUGCCUGAAGGGGUGCAAGAGCCAGAGUAAAGCAAGUCAGACCCCUGGCCACGAGGCUAAACGUGCAAACCACAUCAUCCCAUCUGCCCUUUUACCUAAUCCUUGCCAGAAUGGCUAAUGUCCCAAGCACCCUGAGAAUCAGAACAGAGGCAGGAAUUAGGGAGCAGCCAGGGAUGGUUCAGGAAGCCCUGGCCAAAGGGAAGGCACCUCGGGCACCACAUCACUCGCAGGGCUAAUCCACUGCUGAAGUCUGUCUUCCCUGGCAUCCUAAUCCUAAACCUUUGUGGAAGCUCCAUUCUGUCUGCUGCCAUGGGGCAGAAGAGGGCGCUGGAGAGCUGGCACCAUGGGACAUGCUAGGGAUUCAGAUCAAGGGCAGUGUUCCCAGUGGCAGCAUCUUGGUUUCCAAACACUGUCCUUCCGCCCAUCUCCCCUCAGUCUCUAGUGCCUCAAGUCUUGGCACAGCUCCUCAGGAAUAAAGAAAACGUGCGGUCUGGAGGGCCUGGGCCUAGCCCCUAGCAGGGCUUUUGGGUGGCAAAGCUCUACCCAUGUCCAUUCUGAGGCAGCCAGCAGGGGGCAGGGUAGAGGUGUACUCACCCUCAUUGUAGUCCUUGUGGUGCACAGACACGUGGUAGCGCCGGGGGUAGGUUCCACCUUUGACCCCUUUGUCAUACAGCUGAGUUUCCCGAUCUGAGUUAGAUAGAGGAGACAGAGGAAUCACUGGUUUCGGGGUAGGUCAAUGUGUGUGAACCAUUUAAGCCCCUCUGUCACCUGAGACGUCAGAGCCACAGGCCCGAGGAGAAUUAAAAUACACUCCUGGCUUCCCAACUCAGCUAGCAAAAGCAGAAUGCCCCAGUCCCAUCCAGACACCCUGCAGUGCUCUUCAGGCUCUGGAGAGCUCACCUGAGAAUUCCUGUCUGUUGUCUGGGAAGCUCUGGGCUCGGGACAUUCUCGAUUUCCGGAAGGAUGGGCUGGAAAAAAACAAAAUGAAAUCACAACGUAGACAUCAGCCUACCUGGAAAAGCUGCCCACCAGGGCAGAAGACUGAAGCAAGAGAUUCUCCUCCUGCCUUGAAGAAGCUGCCAUGUUGUGAGAGAGCCAUGUUGCAAGGAACUGAAAGUGGCUUCUAGGAGCUCAGAGUGGCCCCUGGCCAACAGACAGCAAGAAAACAGGGACCACAGUGCUAAUAACAACUGCCAACAAACACAUAAGCUCAGGGGGGAACCCCAAGUUCCAGAAAAGAAUGCAGCCUGGCUGACACUUGACUGUAGUCUUGUGUAACCCUGAAUGGAGGACCCCAUUAAAUCAUGCCUAGGUUCCUUACCCAGGGAAACUGUAAAAUAAUAAAUGUAUGCUGUUUUUAAACUGCUAA